ensembl:lincRNA Gm43342 predicted gene 43342
AACAGUAGAUAGGAUAAAGGAGAGAGGAUAAGGGAAAAACUUAUCCCUUAGAACAGUGUGGGGGAAUUUGGUGACACACAACUUAGGGUCCAGUACAAACCCUGUCCCUUACCAGCCUCAGUUACCCUGUCUGGAAAAUGGAAACAAUGCUCACUCUGCUCUGUGUUCAGUUUGGAAAUGGAAAGAAAUGGCUGUGCUAGGUAGGACCAGUCGUGCAGAGACUCCUUAUUCUUCGUUCCGGACCACAGAGACUCGGAGCCAUGAAGUCUUCCACUGUGGUUUCAGGACUGCCAUAAAUGUGAAUCUUGGGGCGUCUUCAGAUCCCUUCAUUUUUCUGGCUACUGUAAGAAAACGCUGGACAGAAAGAAGCAACUCGGUCUGAAAAGAUCAGAGCUCUGGGAGGGGAUCAACAGCUUGACUGACAUAAAGGUUUCGAAGAGGUGUGAUACAUCGGCGCUGAAAGAUUCUGAUGAUUCUGCCUCCUUGUACAAAUUCAUUUUCCCACAAGCAGUAUGUGAGGGUGCUCUGUCCCCACCCUCUGUGUGAGCCUUGAGCGUCGGGUGGAGUCCUCGUUACCUUUGAGGGGAAGAAACAGUUUCCCUGUGAGAUUCUCCACUCUCUAUGUGAUUCUCCACUCCCUGUGUGAUUCUCCACUCCCAGUGUGAUUCUCUUCCUCCUGUUCCUUUCAGCUUUCAUAGUAUUUCUUUGGAGAAUUUUAAAAAAUAUGUAUUUUUGGAGUGCAUAACUGAUUUGUAGGAGUUAAUUUUAAUUCAUUAUAAUCAUAGCUACGAUACAAUUAAAGUUUAUUUAUAAUGUAUACAAUUACAGUAUAUGAUAGCUACAAUGAAGUCAUAGUUAUAAUUAACAAUUAUAUUUAUAUAAAAAUAAUAAUUAUAUACUAAAUAUUAUAUAAUUAAUCAUUGUGAAUUAAACUGUUGCUCUC